UACGUAGGGUGCGAGCGUUGUCCGGAAUUAUUGGGCGUAAAGAGCUCGCAGGCGGCUUGUCGCGUCGGAUGUGAAAGCCCGGGGCUUAACUCCGGGUCUGCAUUCGAUACGGGCAGGCUAGAGUUCGGUAGGGGAGAUCGGAAUUCCUGGUGUAGCGGUGAAAUGCGCAGAUAUCAGGAGGAACACCGGUGGCGAAGGCGGGUCUCUGGGCAACUACUGACGCUGAGGAGCGAAAGCGUGGGGAGCGAACAGG
rnacentral:rRNA from 1 species